GGUAUAGACCCGAAACCCGGUGAUCUAGCCAUGGGCAGGUUGAAGGUUGGGUAACACUAACUGGAGGACCGAACCGACUAAUGUUGAAAAAUUAGCGGAUGACCUGUGGCUGGGGGUGAAAGGCCAAUCAAACCGGGAGAUAGCUGGUUCUCCCCGAAAGCUAUUUAGGUAGCGCCUCGUGAAUUCAUCUCCGGGGGUAGAGCACUGUUUCGGCUAGGGGGCCAUCCCGGCUUACCAACCCGAUGCAAACUGCGAAUACCGGAGAAUGUUAUCACGGGAGACACACGGCGGGUGCUAACGUCCGUCGUGAAGAGGGAAACAACCCAGACCGCCAGCUAAGGUCCCAAAGUCAUGGUUAAGUGGGAAACGAUGUGGGAAGGCCCAGACAGCCAGGAUGUUGGCUUAGAAGCAGCCAUCAUUUAAAGAAAGCGUAAUAGCUCACUGGUCGAGUCGGCCUGCGCGGAAGAUGUAACGGGGCUAAACCAUGCACCGAAGCUGCGGCAGCGACACUGUGUGUUGUUGGGUAGGGGAGCGUUCUGUAAGCCUGUGAAGGUGUGUCGUGAGGCAUGCUGGAGGUAUCAGAAGUGCGAAUGCUGACAUAAGUAACGAUAAAGCGGGUGAAAAGCCCGCUCGCCGGAAGACCAAGGGUUCCUGUCCAACGUUAAUCGGGGCAGGGUGAGUCGACCCCUAAGGCGAGGCCGAAAGGCGUAGUCGAUGGGAAACGGGUUAAUAUUCCCGUACUUGGUGUUACUGCGAAGGGGGGACGGAGAAGGCUAUGUUGGCCGGGCGACGGUUGUCCCGGUUUAAGCGUGUAGGUGUGUGUUCCAGGUAAAUCCGGUUCACUGUAACACUGAGGCGUGACGACGAGGCACUACGGUGCUGAAGCAACAAAUGCCCUGCUUCCAGGAAAAGCCUCUAAGCAUCAGGUAACAUCAAAUCGUACCCCAAACCGACACAGGUGGUCAGGUAGAGAAUACCAAGGCGCUUGAGAGAACUCGGGUGAAGGAACUAGGCAAAAUGGUGCCGUAACUUCGGGAGAAGGCACGCUGACACGUAGGUGAAGUGAUUUACUCACGGAGCUGAAGUCAGUCGAAGAUACCAGCUGGCUGCAACUGUUUAUUAAAAACACAGCACUGUGCAAACACGAAAGUGGACGUAUACGGUGUGACGCCUGCCCGGUGCCGGAAGGUUAAUUGAUGGGGUCAGCGCAAGCGAAGCUCCUGAUCGAAGCCCCGGUAAACGGCGGCCGUAACUAUAACGGUCCUAAGGUAGCGAAAUUCCUUGUCGGGUAAGUUCCGACCUGCACGAAUGGCGUAAUGAUGGCCAGGCUGUCUCCACCCGAGACUCAGUGAAAUUGAACUCGCUGUGAAGAUGCAGUGUACCCGCGGCAAGACGGAAAGACCCCGUGAACCUUUACUAUAGCUUGACACUGAACAUUGAGCCUUGAUGUGUAGGAUAGGUGGGAGGCUUUGAAGCGUGGACGCCAGUCUGCGUGGAGCCGACCUUGAAAUACCACCCUUUAAUGUUUGAUGUUCUAACGUGGACCCGUAAUCCGGGUUGCGGACAGUGUCUGGUGGGUAGUUUGACUGGGGCGGUCUCCUCCUAAAGAGUAACGGAGGAGCACGAAGGUUGGCUAAUCCUGGUCGGACAUCAGGAGGUUAGUGCAAUGGCAUAAGCCAGCUUGACUGCGAGCGUGACGGCGCGAGCAGGUGCGAAAGCAGGUCAUAGUGAUCCGGUGGUUCUGAAUGGAAGGGCCAUCGCUCAACGGAUAAAAGGUACUCCGGGGAUAACAGGCUGAUACCGCCCAAGAGUUCAUAUCGACGGCGGUGUUUGGCACCUCGAUGUCGGCUCAUCACAUCCUGGGGCUGAAGUAGGUCCCAAGGGUAUGGCUGUUCGCCAUUUAAAGUGGUACGCGAGCUGGGUUUAGAACGUCGUGAGACAGUUCGGUCCCUAUCUGCCGUGGGCGCUGGAGAACUGAGGGGGGCUGCUCCUAGUACGAGAGGACCGGAGUGGACGCAUCACUGGUGUUCGGGUUGUCAUGCCAAUGGCACUGCCCGGUAGCUAAAUGCGGAAGAGAUAAGUGCUGAAAGCAUCUAAGCACGAAACUUGCCCCGAGAUGAGUUCUCCCUGAGACUUUAGGUCUCCUGAAGGAACGUUGAAGACGACGACGUUGAUAGGCCGGGUGUGUAAGCGCAGCGAUGCGUUGAGCUAACCGGUACUAAUGAACCGUGAGGCUUAACCUUACA
rnacentral:rRNA from 1 species